rnacentral:lncRNA from 1 species
ACAAAGGACAUUUUUUUAAUGAAAAGGUAUGUUGAAUGUUGAAAAGUGCAUUAUGGGAAUUAUGGGAACGUAAAACAUAUAACCUUUAAAUCAUUCUAUAUUCAUGUUGACCAUAUUUUUGCUUUUCUUCUUCAUCCCCAUAUAUAGUAAUAUUCAUCUUUAUAUCAUCAUCAAUGUUCCUAACUAACAAUAUCUAUUUUGAUUUUAUUAGGAUUUUGAAGUUGCACAAUUUGAUAAUGUUCCUUGAUUAUCACCAAAAGAUGAACAUGGUUUGGUUAAGUGGAAUAGAAGAUUGAUGGGACAACUCCUUGAAAUUUGGAGGUUAGAUCGAUCUGACCCUCUUUUUUCAUUUUCUAUAAAAAUGAUUUUUAUGUCUAACGGGCAUUUGUUUUGUUUGUAAUAGAUGUUUUAAGUUACACUUAGACUAAUCACGUUUCAUCAUUUUGGUUGGGUACACAUGAUGGAGAUUAAUCCGGCUGUCAUUUGUAUGUUAGGUUGGAUGACACCAUUAGGUAACAUUAUGUUUUUUGGUCUCCAAGUUGAUGAUGUUGAAGCUGUUGAUGAAGGUAGUUUCAAUCUUUCUUUUCUUUUAAUGAAUAUGUUACUUUUAUACAAUUCUAAUAGACUAAACUGUACAAAUGGUCCUUGUGGUUAGCUUAAAAUUGUCACUUUGGUCCAAAAGUUUUGGACUAGCACCAGAGGUCCAAACUUUUUAUUUUGUUGUGAGUUUGGUCCAAUUUGCUUUGAACUUUUUUCAAAUGACAUAUUUGCCCUUAUCAAUUUCCUUUUCUAUUUCUUUUUUAAUUUAAUUUAAUUUUUUAUUUAAAAUUAAAUAAAAAAAAUGUACAACCAUAUCCUACCCCACUCACAUACCUCUAGAAACUUUAAUACCACCUCUCUCUCUCUCUCUCUCUCUCUCUCUCUCUCUCUAUUGCUGCCGAACCACCACCUCUCGCCGACCAUCGUUGUUGGACCACCACCAUUUGAUAGAUCAGUGUCACCUGCCGGACCAUCGCCACUUGUUGGCCUAUCCUAGUCACCGGAGACCACCCCUACCCUUAUCUUCCUCUCUCUCUCUCUCUCUCUCUCUCUCUCUCUCUCUCUCUCUCUUCACAAAACCAUCUCCAUCUUCAUGAUUUUCAGAAAACAAAAAUACCACCACCACCACUCGCUUCUGGUGACUGGUUCUGGCAGAGAGGGUUCCGACCACCACCAUUUAUUGUCUGUUCGAUCAACAUCGCAUCUCCCUUCGCAUCACCUGUGCCUUCUGGAACACCACCAUCUUGUUGUCAUCCCUCCCAAACGACCGCUGCAAACCCUAGUAGCGGUAGCUCUAAAAACCCUAGUUUCGGUGGUACUUUGUGGUUCGAGGUACACAGUGGUGGUGCUUGAGAUCUGCAAGAAACAGAUGCCUUGGUCGAAGAAAGAAAUAGAGGUUGUGGCGGUGGUUUUUUGUAAGCGAAGGGCGGCUGCACCGAUGAACAGAUUAGGCGAAAAGAACGUUUCGACAAUGGAGAGAGAUAGAUAGAUCGAGAAGAUCAUGGAUGUGGCGUCGGAACUCCCUCCACUGCCGGCUUUUUCUCUCUUCUCUUGGUAAACAAUCAACGAACAAACCCAUAUCUACUGGUACGAUGAACAUGAUGUUUCAAACGUUAGCGACACAUCGGAGAAAGAGAGAUGGCGGUAGUGCUGAAACCCCGAUAUGUAGCUCAUCUGAUUUUGAAACCCUAAAAUGAAGAUAUCUCUGUUUAUUUCUUCAUCUUCUGAUCUGUUUGGUGGCUGGAGAGAUGGCCGAUGGUGUUUCCGUGCAAAGUGGGUGGCGAUGUAGUAAUAGUGGGGAAGAAGAAAACGAGAGAGAGAGAGAGAGAGAUUUAUUUUAUUUUUAUUUUCUUGUUUUUUUUUUAAUUUGAAAAUCAUAAGCAAAUAAUAAAAAAGAGAAAAACGUAUUAAUAGGGCAAAUCCGUCAUUUUGAAAAAAAUCAAAAUAGAUUGGACCAAAAACGCAACAAAUAGAAAGUUUUGGACCACUGGCGCUAGUCCAAACCUUUUUGGACCAAAGUGACAAUUUUGAGCAAACCACAGGGACCAUUUGUGCAGUUUAGUCAUUCUAAUACUUGAGUACUAUUUGUUUAUUUCUUUGUAAAAGUAUGUUUACAUUGACGAGUACAGGUUAUAGAUCUGGUUAUGGAUUGGAGAGGACAUAGAUAAUGACUUGGAUAGAUGGGGAAAAAGUAAUAGUAAGUGUUCCAAAUCCCGAAAUAAGAGUGGAU